rnacentral:lncRNA from 1 species
GUUCUGCCUAAGGACAGAGGGCUCAUUCAACUGUAGCAGUUGCCUGGGGACCCGGCCUGACCACUGAAGGAAGAAGGAGACAAAGCAGGUGGCAUUCUCUGAAGUGUGGGAAGGUGACCCCUAUCUGUGGUGUUCAGCCUGGCUGACAGAAGCCAGAUUCCAGAGGCUCUGCCAAGUGUGGACUUCUAGCCCUCUAAGGAAGAUGGAGCCUGAAGACUACAGCAAACAGCCCAGCCAGGAACCUGACAUCUAGUCUCCAUCUUGUGCUACCAGCCCCUCACCACCGCUGAAAUUGGCCUCCAUUCUAUAGAAGAUGAUUGUGAGUCUACAAUGAGGUUGUCAAGCUGAGGAUGUCCCAUUCUUCUGUCCUUCGUGUGGAGCCCAGUUCCCAUCACUGCCAACUCCAGUGCUGCCUCGUGGACCAUGGAUGAAGCCAUGGUAUACCACCCUCAUGUUAGAGCAAGGCCCCAUGGGAUCUGACCUUCAAAUGGUUAACCGGGAAGCAUGUUAGCUGGGUCCCCCAGUUCCCAGCAGUCCCUGGCUGCAGUAUUGUGGUUUCACGGUCCAUGGCUCAGCACAG